UCCCAGUGUGACCGGGAUAGGGAGAUGG
rnacentral:sRNA from 1 species